rnacentral:rRNA from 1 species
AGUGGCGGACGGGUGAGUAACGCGUAAGAAUCUAACUUCAGGACGGGGACAACAGUUGGAAACGACUGCUAAUACCCGAUGUGCCGCAAGGUGAAACCUAAUUGGCCUGAAGGAGAGCUUGCGUCUGAUUAGCUAGUUGGUGGGGUAAGAGCCUACCAAGGCGACGAUCAGUAGCUGGUCUGAGAGGAUGAGCAGCCACACUGGGACUGAGACACGGCCCAGACUCCUACGGGAGGCAGCAGUGGGGAAUUUUCCGCAAUGGGCGAAAGCCUGACGGAGCAACGCCGCGUGAGGGAGGAAGGUCUUUGGAUUGUAAACCUCUUUUCUCAAGGAAGAAGUUCUGACGGUACUUGAGGAAUCAGCCUCGGCUAACUCCGUGCCAGCAGCCGCGGUAAUACGGGGGAGGCAAGCGUUAUCCGGAAUUAUUGGGCGUAAAGCGUCCGCAGGUGGUCAGCCAAGUCUGCUGUCAAAUCAGGUUGCUUAACGACCUAAAGGCGGUGGAAACUGGCAGACUAGAGAGCAGUAGGGGUAGCAGGAAUUCCCAGUGUAGCGGUGAAAUGCGUAGAGAUUGGGAAGAACAUCGGUGGCGAAAGCGUGCUACUGGGCUGUAUCUGACACUCAGGGACGAAAGCUAGGGGAGCGAAAGGGAUUAGAUACCCCUGUAGUCCUAGCCGUAAACGAUGGAUACUAGGCGUGGCUU